AAGAGUCAUGGCGGUAUGCUUUACACAUGCAAGUCGAACGAAAGCUUUAGCUUUAGUGGCGAACGGGUGAGUAACACGUAAGAAUCUACCUUUAGGAGGGAAAUAACAAUUGGAAACAUUUGCUAAUAUCCCAUAAGCUGAAAAGUAAAAUAUUUUUUGCCUAAAGAUGAGCUUGCGCCUGAUUAGCUAGUUGGUGAGGUAAUGGCUUACCAAGGCCACGAUCAGUAGCUGGUUUGAGAGGAUGAUCAGCCACAUUGGAACUGAGACACGGUCCAGACUUUUACGGAAGGCAGCAGUGGGGAAUUUUCCGCAAUGGGCGCAAGCCUGACGGAGCAAUACCGCGUGAAGGAUGAAUGCCUGUGGGUUGUAAACUUCUUUUAUUAGGGAAGAAAAAAAUGACGGUACCUAAUGAAUAAGCAUCGGCUAACUCCGUGCCAGCAGCCGCGGUAAUACGGGGGAUGCAAGCGUUAUCCGGAAUCAUUGGGCGUAAAGAGUCUGUAGGUUGUUUAGUAAGUCUGCUGUUAAAUGUUAGAGCUUAACUCUAAAAAAGCAGUGGAAACUACUAAACUAGAGUGUGGUAGAGGCAAAGGGAAUUCCCAGUGUAGCGGUGAAAUGCGUAGAUAUUGGGAAGAACACCAGAAGCGAAAGCGCUUUGCUGGGCCAUCACUGACACUAAGAGACGAAAGCUAGGGGAGCAAAUGGGAUUAGAUACCCCAGUAGUCCUAGCCGUAAACGAUGGAUACUAGAUGUUGCGCGUAUCGAUCCGUGCAGUAUCGUAGCUAACGCGUUAAGUAUCCCCGCCUGGGAAAGUACGCUCGCAAGAGUGAAACUCAAAUGAAUUGACGG
rnacentral:rRNA from 1 species